UACAGAGGGGGCUAGCGUUGUUCGGAAUUACUGGGCGUAAAGGGCGCGUAGGUGGCCUGUUAAGUCGAACGUGAAAUCCCCGGGCUCAACCCGGGAACUGCGUCCGAGACUGGCAGGCUCGAAUCCGGGAGAGGGAUGUGGAAUUCCAGGUGUAGCGGUGAAAUGCGUAGAUAUCUGGAGGAACACCGGUGGCGAAGGCGGCAUCCUGGACCGACACUGACGCUGAGGAGCGAAAGCCAGGGGAGCAAACGGG
rnacentral:rRNA from 1 species